AACAAACGCUGGCGGCGUGCCUAAUACAUGCAAGUCGAACGGGGAAAGCUUUCGGGUGAGUACUAGUGGCGCACGGGUGAGUAACGCGUGGAUAAUCUGCCUUAGAGUGGGGGAGAACUAGUCGAAAGAUUAGCUAAUACCGCAUAAGACCACAAGAACUGCGGUUCAAGGGGUCAAAGGUUUUUCGCUCUAAGAUGAGUCGUCGUAAGAUUAGCUAGUUGGUUAGGUAAUGGCUCACCAAGGCGACGAUCUUUAACUGGUCUGAGAGGAGGAUCAGUAACACUGGAACUGAGACACGGUCCAGACUCCGACGGGAGGCAGCAGGAGGGAAUAUUGCACAAUGGAGGAAACUCUGAUGCAGCGACGCCGCGUGAGUGAUGAAGGCCUUCGGGUCGUAAAGCUCUGUCGCAAGGGAAUAACACAAUGAAUGUACCUUGCAAGAAAGGAUCGGCUAACUUCGUGCCAGCCGCCGCCGUAAAAC
rnacentral:rRNA from 1 species